UACGGAGGGAGCUAGCGUUGUUCGGAAUUACUGGGCGUAAAGCGUACGUAGGCGGUUCUUCAAGUCAGAGGUGAAAGCCCGGGGCUCAACCCCGGAACGGCCUUUGAAACUAGAUAGCUAGAGUCUUGGAGAGGUUAGUGGAAUUCCGAGUGUAGAGGUGAAAUUCGUAGAUAUUCGGAAGAACACCAGUGGCGAAGGCGACUAACUGGACAAGUACUGACGCUGAGGUACGAAAGCCAGGGGAGCGAACGGG
rnacentral:rRNA from 1 species